rnacentral:rRNA from 1 species
UGCAAGUCGAACGAGACCUUCGGGUCUAGUGGCGCACGGGUGAGUAACGCGUGGAAACCUACCAUUCUGUACGGAAUAACGAUUGGAAACGAUCGCUAAUACCGUAUACGCCCUGUGGGGGAAAGGUCCGCCGCAGAAUGAGGGGUCCGCGUCCGAUUAGCUUGUUGGUGGGGUAAAAGCCUACCAAGGCGAUGAUCGGUAGCUGGUCUGAGAGGAUGAUCAGCCACACUGGGACUGAGACACGGCCCAGACUCCUACGGGAGGCAGCAGUGGGGAAAUAUUGGGACAAUGGGGGGCAACCCCUGAUCCCAGCAAUGCCCGCGUGUGAGAAGAAAGGCCUUAGGGGUUGUAAAGCACUUUUCAAUGGUGAAGAUGAUGACGGUAGCCGUAAAAGAAGCCCCGGCUAACUUCGUUGCCAGCAGCCGCCGGUAAUACGAAGGGGGCGAGCGUUGUNGGAAAUACUGGGCGGUAAAGGGCGCGCAGGCGGGCCAUCCAGUCAGGUGUGGAAAGCCCCGGGCUUUACCUGGGAACUGCACCUUGAUACUGAUUGGCUAGAANCGGAGAGGGCAGUGGA